UACGAAGGGGGCUAGCGUUGCUCGGAAUCACUGGGCGUAAAGCGCACGUAGGCGGACUCUUAAGUCGGUGGUGAAAUCCUGGAGCUCAACUCCAGAACUGCCUUCGAUACUGAGAGUCUUGAGUCCGGGAGAGGUGAGUGGAACUGCGAGUGUAGAGGUGAAAUUCGUAGAUAUUCGCAGGAACACCAGUGGCGAAGGCGGCUUACUGGUCCAUUACUGACGCUGAGGUGCGAAAGCGUGGGGAGCAAACAGG
rnacentral:rRNA from 1 species